rnacentral:rRNA from 1 species
CCUACGGGAGGCAGCAGUGAGGAAUAUUGGGCAAUGGGCGCGAGCCUGAACCAGCCAAGUAGCGUGAAGGAUGACUGCCCUACGGGUUGUAAACUUCUUUUAGAAAGGAAUAAAGUGAGGCACGUGUGCCGUUUUGUAUGUACGUUAUGAAUAAGGAGCGGCUAACUCCGUGCCAGCAGCCGCGGUAAUACGGAGGAUCCGAGCGUUAUCCGGAUUUAUUGGGUUUAAAGGGAGCGUAGAUGGGUUGUUAAGUCAGUUGUGAAAGUUUGCGGCUCAACCGUAAAAUUGCAAUUGAUACUGGCAGUCUUGCGUCCAGUUGCGGUAGGCGGCCUUCGUGGUGUAGCGG